rnacentral:rRNA from 1 species
AUUGAACGCUGGCGGCAGGCCUAACACAUGCAAGUCGAGCGGAUGACGGGAGCUUGCUCCUUGAUUCAGCGGCGGACGGGUGAGUAAUGCCUAGGAAUCUGCCUGGUAGUGGGGGACAACGUUUCGAAAGGAACGCUAAUACCGCAUACGUCCUACGGGAGAAAGCAGGGGACCUUCGGGCCUUGCGCUAUCAGAUGAGCCUAGGUCGGAUUAGCUAGUUGGUGGGGUAAUGGCUCACCAAGGCGACGAUCCGUAACUGGUCUGAGAGGAUGAUCAGUCACACUGGAACUGAGACACGGUCCAGACUCCUACGGGAGGCAGCAGUGGGGAAUAUUGGACGAUGGGCGAAAGCCUGAUCCAGCCAUGCCGCGUGUGUGAAGAAGGUCUUCGGAUUGUAAAGCACUUUAAGUUGGGAGGAAGGGCAGUAAGCUAAUACCUUGCUGUUUUGACGUUACCGACAGAAUAAGCACCGGCUAACUCUGUGCCAGCCGCCGCCGUAAUAC